AUGAGGACGAGGAGAGGAGGAGGUAGAGGAGGAGGAGGAGGGAGAGGAGGAGGAGGAGGAGGAGGGAGAGGAGGAGGAGGAGGAGGAAGCCACGGUCACUUGGAAGCACCAGCUCCCGCAGAUCUCCAUCGCUGCAGCUUUGCAAGCAGCGCACUCACCCUCCGCGUCCGCCCAUUCUCUACAAGUUGCCUUUUUUUUUUUAAGUGGAGUUUUAGAAGGAAAAAAAGGUACAAGUAAAGAAUCUUUUCAAAUGCAAAUGUUGGUAGUAGGGAACAGGAGGUAAGGAGUAGCAAACUAAUAGAGAAUAUCUAUGCCAAAUAUAUUUUGUUUUGAAGUUUCCAAUUCUUCCUCAUGGCUAAAUACCCUCAUUUGUGACUUUUAACAAUAUGAGAAUAUUUUUGUGAGCCUUAGCAAAAUGCUGAUUUAUGUAUCUUAACAAAAUUACACUGCAUGUAAGUAGUACUAUAUAUGUAAUCUAAUGGAUAAGAGUAAAAGGCAGAUGGUGGGUGAAAGGUUAGGUUGUAUCAUGAAACCACAAAUUUCAAGAAUUUGAUAUUGCCCCUCUUUCGCAGAACUGUAUCACUCCUUUAAAAGGUUUUUAAUUUAAAAAGUUUGUUAGGCAAAUUUUUGUUUUAGUCCAUCCUAGGAUAAUGUUAUAUUUUAAGAAACAAUAGUGUUAUAUAUUUUUUUAAAUCACAUUUUUCCACAUUAUAGAAAAACAACCUUGGGAGACUGGUUCAAUCCUGAGCAGAACUGUUGAGUUCAGAAGGGUCUGACGGUGCAAAGAAGUAUAUUCAAUUGAGUGAGGAAACGAACAACAGGAAGCAUAUAGGCUCAAAUCCAAGGCAAGACAUAUUUCUUGAUAUUGGAAAAAGGGAAAAUGAAGUACAAAGGCUCUCUGCCCUCAACAAUAUUAUAUAAAGGAAGUUAUGUUCUGAAAAGUAGAAUCAAGCUGGUGCCAGGCAGGAAGAGGUAGGUGUGCGUGUUUUGAGAUGUGAAGAAUGGCUGUUAUCCAGAUGGCAGACAGGACGACUGAAGGAGGAAUCAGAAGAAUUCAAGACACGUUCUUCGUUUUGCCAAAGCAGCAGUCUAUCCAAGUUUACUCAAGAUUUAAUACUUUAAAUUUGAGGUGAAACUUUAAUUAUACAUUUGGAAUAUUUGAAAAUUAAGAUUGCCUGUAGUUAUAAAAAGAACAUCUGGAAAGAAAUAUGUAAGAAAAACCAUUACUUGUGCAAAUCCCAUAAGACAAAUUCAAUUUCUAUUUCAAAUUAAUAGCUUAUCUGUUAGUAACAAUUCAGCUC
rnacentral:lncRNA from 1 species